AAUUUAUAAGUUUUCGAUUACACGCCGACAAAAAAAAAAAAAAGUUUUCGAUUACACUUCUGAUCUCUUCCAUUUACGAGUUCUUAGCUUCUCGUCGCUGUGGAGUUCCGAUAUCUUUUCUGAUCCAAGCUCAGAGGCGUAGAAGCAUAUCUUAAUCGAUGAUCUGUGUAACGGAUUGAGACAAACAAGCAUCCUAACUCAUCGAAUCCACCAAAUCAGGUAUUGAUUCUAACUUGGAACAUGAUCGGAGAUAUUCGCCGUUAGGUUAUCGGAAAUUUAGAUGGAGAAUCGUGAUAGUUUGAUACGGGAAGUUGAAAUCUCAGUGUUUGAAAGCAUCGAUCCUUUUAGUUUAUAGAUUUUUCAGAAUUGAUCAAUAGGAGAAAUUAUGAUUGGUUUCAUUGAGUUUCAAAGUAGAAGAACUAGUAUAGAGGAACUGGCGGAGAUGAAAAUUCAUGGAUUUACCUGAGUUUAAGAAAAGAUUAAUUGGUUGCUCGAUUUGCUCUUGAUUAGACAAUGUCAAUUCAGAAGAGAAAAAGAUGGAAACAUCUAUACAAUAGAUUGAAUGCUCUUGCUUGCUCAUAUAGCUUCCUAAAAGAUUGAAGAAACACAACAACUUUUUUCAUGCCUCAUGGAAUGAGGAAUUUUAGAUCAUCAGUUUGAUGAUGGAUUUGAAUGUUGCAAGUGUUUUUGGGUGAGAAGCAACAUGAUAUCCUGAGUUUGUCACAGAAUCUCAUCAACAGAUGUUGUCAUCCCUUAUUGGAAGUAAAGCACAUGAAUCAAUGAUGUACAGUUACCAACAUAGCUUCCAGGCUUUGCUUACCGAGUCACAAUUCAAGAAAACUGCUGAGUGGGCACUUUUGGUAUGGAGAGAAAAGACAAAUUGUUCAACCCUCUUUGUCCAAGAUUUCUCUAGCUCCCAGAAUCUAAGGGGCUUUUACACACACUUCUCUGCUCAUUGCUGAAAGGAUGUAUAUUCUACAGGAGGACCUUUUGAAAGUUUUGAAGAUACUUACGAGCAAAAGAAAAGGCUUUGAAGAUUAUAGAUAAAAAUUGUGGAUAAUAUUUUUACAAAAGAAACAUUUAGAUGUUUUUGUGUAAAAUUUAUACGUUUGAUUAAUAGAAAUUUAAUAUGGUCUACUAUGGUUUCUACU